UUGGAGGGCAAGUCUGGUGCCAGCAGCCGCGGUAAUUCCAGCUCCAAUAGCGUAUAUUAAAGUUGUUGCAGUUAAAAAGCUCGUAGUUGAACUUCGGGGUCUACCCAUUGGUCAGGCUUAAUUGUCUGCACUGGUGAGAUGGAUCUCUACCUUCUGAGGAACUUUCAUGCCAUUUAUUUGGUGUGAUKGGAAAUCAGGACUGUUACUUUGAAAAAAUUAGAGUGUUUAAAGCAGACUAUCGUCUGAAUACAUUAGCAUGGAAUAAUGAAAUAGGACGGACUGAUUCUAUUUCGUUGGUUUCUAGGAUCACCGUAAUGAUUAAUAGGGAUAGUUGGGGGCAUUAGUAUUCAAUUGUCAGAGGUGAAAUUCUUGGAUUUAUUGAAGACUAACUACUGCGAAAGCAUUUGCCAAGGAUGUUUUCAUUAAUCAAGAACGAAAGUUAGGGGAUCGAAGACGAUCAGAUACCGUCGUAGUCUUAACCAUAAACUAUGCCGACUAGGGAUCGGACGAAGUUAAUUUUAUAAUGACGCGUUCGGCGCCUUACGGGAAACAAGG
rnacentral:rRNA from 1 species